GUCGGACACUCAACCAACUGAGCCACCCAGGCGCCCCGAUACCAGUUAUUAGUAUAACCAUGAAUGAAAGGAAUAACUUGGCCUACAGCUUAGCAACUGCCACCGUCAUUAACUGCAAGAAUUAGAUGGUGAAACUGAAGUUCUGCUCUGUGGGAUACGGUAUGAGUGGCGCCAUGAACUCAGGGCUGGGUGCCCCGAGCUGUUGGGACCACUUGAGAGUCCACAUUAAGAAGCAGAUGUUCUCCUUCACCUCUGGGAAAUCUGGGAUGUGUGGAUGAUCAGAGGCUACCAGAAGACACGUAUGGAAGCAGCUCUAAAGGUAGACUCCUGUAAAUUCUGUAAGUAGGAAACUUUGUUGUCAGCAUGUGCCCGGUUUCCCUCUUGGUGCACUCCUCUCUCUUAAAGAUGUACCUAAUGCCCUCAAGCUGUGUUCUGGGUCUCCAGUGGACCUGUGGGUCUACUUAAGGUGUAGAGACUACCCGGGAUCUAGCUCUCAGACCAUCCGCUGCUUCAGACUUUCUGUCACCUCAGGGUAUGGAGACCAUAUGGUCUAAGCUACAAAUAGGCUUGCCUAGAGUAAAAGUGUGAAGUAAAAGUAAAAAUAAAGAGCCUAAAGUAAAAAUGUGCUGAAGAGAACCACAGGGCAGAGUAUAUAAAAUUAAAAUGAUCCCAGAGAAUCACCCUGGAAGAUAUGCUUUAUGAGGGGGAGGAUCUUGUCUGUUCAGUUCACACCACAAUCCCUAGCACCUGCCUACUAUGUAGCCCAUAGUAGGUGACCCACAAAUAUUUUUAGACUCAGUGAAUGAACAUAUAAAGUCAGGAUGUAUGGUCCAGUGUAAGUGCCAUUCAGCAAGGUACCUGCUCUUAUCCCAGCAGGCUGUGAGUUAGAAAAGAGCAGGUCAUCUACUGCAGACCUUGAUUUUAGUGACUGACAAGAACAGACCAGGAGGAACUCAGGAGUCAGACACUGAUGGAGAAGGAGAUGACUUAGGCUUAAAGAAAGGAAAAUACAUGUUUAUUGAAUGCCUGUGCUUUACUCACAUUAUCAGUUUUGCUUGGUGCAGUAGCCCUGAAAAGUAAGUCUUAGUCUGUAUGUUUUAUUAAUUAGGAAACUGAGAUAGGCAUGCUAGCAAGAGGCUGAGCUAGGAUUUGUACCCAGAUAUUUUUGAUCCAAAGCUCAUCCUGUUUAGAUAAACUGGUGAUGGAAGAAGAGGGGCUUCUCCAAAAAUUUGACUAGAUCAUGGCACGAGUUUAAUGUAACGUCUCCUGUGCCUCCAAUAUGACUCUAUAGGACAUUACCUCCAACUACCCACAGCUCCCUGACUCAGCUUCUCAGUGACUCUCCAUUCAGAAUUCCUGAUGAGAAUCAGUUGACCCAGCUUGUAGAGAAUAUAAUAAGCAGGUACAAAUGUAGCUUAAUGUACUCAUCUCCUUGUUAGGACAAAAGUAGAACAAGAGUCCUUUAAAUCAGAGUGGCUAUGGGAAGACAGCUGUCAGUAUUUCUAGGAUAAACAGGUGCAGCUGACAUCCACCUGCAAUCUUAUUCCUCCUUUUGUUCUUCCAUGAGUAUCUGUCCCUAUUUUUCUGCCAAAAUGAGAUGGUUUUACUCUUUUUACUUCUUACCCUUGCACAAGGUACAUUAUAUUGGAGUCUGUUGUCAACAGAGUCGUAGGUAACUGAUGUAUGUUAAAUAUUAUAUAUAUAAACUGUGCACCUUUGGGUGCUGCUAAAGUAAUGAUGCCUCUUGGCAUUUACUGAUAAAAUAAGACAAGCUGUUUAUUCAUUCAUCUGGCCCUUGAAGCUGGCUUUUGAAUGAGGAGGACUAAGUUUGGGAGUCGGCCUUUGCUUUCACUGUAGCUGUGUGAGAUCAAUCACUGCAAGGACUGUGGUAAAAGUAAAGGAGGUAUAGGAGAGCCCCACACAGAUUUUCCUUGAAGAGAGACCCUGCUGCAGGGGGCACAGUGAACUUUGCAAAGGGAAUCCCAAACAAACAGCUUUGCCAUGCCUUCUCCCAUGAGAUUUGAAGUUUCUUUUAUUUCCUGCCCACUCAGAGCUAAGAUAGCGGUAGGAGGAAAGCCAGUGUGCUGUUAAAUGGUGCGUUUGGGUUUGGAAUGAUCUGGCUUAGUCAUUUCAUUAGGGAAUACCCAACUGUCAGAAUUUUAGGAUCUUUCCUCGUGGGAUGGUAUCUUAGUCCAUUCAUGGCAAUGUAGGCUUUUUCUAGCAUGCCCUUCAAAAUUCUUCCAGCCUCUACCCAUUACCCAAUUUUAAAGCCACUUCACAUAUUUGGGUAUUUGUUAUAGUAGCACCCUACUUCUUUCUCAGUACCAAUUUCUGUCUUAGUCCACUUUGGUUGCUACAGCAAAAAUACCGUAUCUUUAAAAAAAAAUGCCAUAGACUGCGUGGCUUAUAAACAACAGAAAUUUAUUUCUCACACUCUGGAACCAAGAUCAAGGUGCUGGCAAAUUCUUUGUUUGGUGAGGGCCCACUGCCUAGUUUCUGGAUGGCUGUCUUCUCACUGUGUUCUCACAUGGCAGAAAGGGUGAAGGAGCUCUGGGGUUUCUCUAAUAAGAGCACUAACCCCAUUUGUGAGGGCUCUGCCCUUAUGACCUAACCACCCCGAAAUGCCCUACCUACAAAUACUAUCUCACUGGGUUUAGGAUUUCAAUAUCUGAAUUAUGGAGAGACACAUUUAGUCUAUAGCAGAUGGUCUGUUUCCCCAAAGAUGAAUCUCAUCUUUUUGCUGGGGUAUAUAAGCCUGAUUUGCAGGGUUCUGAGAGUCAUGUGGGGAGAGGGUAUAUGUUUGAGUAUGUGGAGCUGGGCGAAAAUUUUCACCAUUCAGCAGUUAGACUUUCACUUCAUCCCCCUAUUUUCAAUAGGGCACAACCUCCCUCAGCUUUGUCUGUCAUUCCUGAAUCUGCAUCUCUCUGGUCCAUUUGCUUGACAAGAAAGUUCUCUGUUCUUGCUUUCUGCUCAAAUGGGGGAAAAGACUGCUUGCUGCCUGCAGCAAAGAAUAGGAAAAGGUGGUCUGAGUCUAACUUCUCAUAGAAUCUUUCAAUGAAUUCUCUUUUCAAGUUUGUCUUCCACCUCCAAGUUCAGAGACAUUAGUAUCUCCCAUUUCUUCUAAAAUUUUGUUGCAGCUGUCUCCCCCCUCUGUUCUGUUUGUCUCAAUUUAUGCUCCCCCUGCCCCAUUUUAUUUUGAUGAGGUUUGAGGUAGAAUAGGAGGUAAAUGCAUGGGUUCAGUCUUUCAUGUUUAACCGAAGGCUCCUCCCAGGAGCUCUGGAGGGUCUGCUUGGCAGCAGUUACUCCUGUUGGGUGGGUGGGUGGAUGAGGGGUGGUUACAGAAAGGAAUGUAAGCUUUUAAACUUUAAAGGUAGGUUAAGCUUGGGAGAUCAUAUCCAACUCCAUGAUUUGACCCUGAAGACAAUGGAGAACCUCUGUAAUCUGCUGAGUAUGAGUAGAAUUAACUCCAGACAGCUCAGACUUCAAAGCAUGUAACUUUUUGUAUUGUCACUAAGUUAAUUUUUUGAGUUGCCUAGGACAGGACUACAGCUGGGUGAUGCUGGGGUAAGAUGAUCAAGAAGCCACCAAAAAAAUGCCAGCCUGGUUUUCCUUGGGUAUACAAAAAUCUCCUGCAAAUUCAGUUAUUCUUUAAUAAUUAGUAACUUACCGAUCUGGUUGAAUGGGAAGAUUGGUUACAUAUAGAGGAUUUAUCAAUUAAGUAAAAAAUAUUGAGAAUUAUUAAAGAAGUUACAAAUAUAGAGAAGAGAAAAGCUAGAUUGACUCGUGAUAUUUGAUUGGAUUUGGAGAUACA